rnacentral:misc_RNA from 1 species
CGUACAUUGCGCCCUCUGGUAUUCUGGGGGGCAUGCCUGUUCGAGCGUCAUUACAACCUUCAAGCUCUGUUUGGUAUUGGGCAGCACUGUUCCGGUGUGUUUUAAAAUCAGUGGCGGCGUUGCUCGGCUUCAAGCGUAGUAAUUCUUCUCGCUCUGGAGGCCCGGGUGCGCACCUGCCAGCAAGCCUAAUUUUCCAAAGGUUGACCUCGGAUCAGGUAGGGAUACCCGCUGAACUUAA